AAUCGCGGAUCAGAAUGCCGCGGUGAAUACGUUCCCGGGUCUUGUACACACCGCCCGUCACACCAUGGGAGUCGGAAAUGCCCGAAGUCUGUGACCCAACCAUUAAGGAGGGAGCAGCCGAAGGCAGGUCGGAUGACUGGGGUGAAGUCGUAACAAGGUAGC
rnacentral:rRNA from 1 species